rnacentral:rRNA from 1 species
UACGGGGGGAGCAAGCGUUGUUCGGAUUUACUGGGCGUAAAGGGCGCGUAGGCGGUCAGCACAAGUCAGUUGUGAAAUCUCCGGGCUUAACUCGGAAAGGUCAACUGAUACUGUGCGACUAGAGUGCAGAAGGGGCAACUGGAAUUCUCGGUGUAGCAGUGAAAUGCGUAGAUCUCGAGAGGAACACCAGUGGCGAAGGCGGGUCUCUGGACAACACCUGACGCUGAGGCACGAAAGCCAGGGGAGCAAACGGG